UGAAAAUUGCUGUCACCAGUUGAUGUGGCAAGGUCUGGACAGCAGGGAAGGAGAGGAAGGGCAGUGGUGGCUGCAGGGGUGACCUCUGUGAGAGGAGUCCAGAAGCUGCCCUGUAUCAGACAGUGUUACCUGUGUUUUUCAGCACCAUGCAAAGCCCCAGGCCUGCUCCAGUAACCUCUCAUGGCCAACCUGUUGUGCUGAGCUGGGGCAUGGGGGCCUCACCAUGCAGUGCACUGGACUGGUAACUUCUCAUGUGUUGAGGUCUGCCCUGUUGGCUCCCUGGUGGGCUUCCUAGGAGGGAGCUGUAGUCCUCAGGCGUGGUCCCCCACCCUUCUGGUACCCCACAGACCUGUUGAAGUCAUCCCCCCACCAGACAUGUGGGCCUUCUU